rnacentral:rRNA from 1 species
UACAGAGGUCUCAAACGUUGUUCGGAUUCAUUGGGCGGAAAGGGUGCGUAGGCGGCGCGGUAAGGCGGGUGUGAAAUCUCGGGGCUUAACUCCGAAACUGCAUUCGAUACUGCCGUGCUUGAGGACUGGAGAGGAGACUGGAAUUUACGGUGUAGCGGUGAAAUGCGUAGAUAUCGUAAGGAAGACCAGUGGCGAAGGCGGGUCUCUGGACAGUUCCUGACGCUGAGGCACGAAGGUCAGGGGAGCAAACGGG